ensembl:lncRNA
UAAGGAUGCUGCAUACCCAUGUCUCUUCUCACUAAUAGAACUGAGCUCCCAGUCAGCCUCUUCCACCUGACCCAGUGACCAUGAGGCGUGACCACAGGUGCCUGCUCUCUGGACAUCAGAACCAGACAUGGAAACGAGUCUUCAUGCAGAGUACGGAAUUUGGAACCAGAAGUAAUUCUAGAUGAACGCUGGUGACAAGAAAGUCUGGGGAAGAGACAACUCUAAGAGACAACAUGGCAUCAUGGAAGGAGCAAUAAGGUGGAGUCCAGAGAUAUGGCUGAGAUUCAGCUCUGCCAGGAGUAACUCCCAUGGUUUUGGUCAUGUCUCUUGCCCUCUCUGGGCCUCAGUUUCCUGAUGAGAGGGUUCUAGUAUAUCAAGCGUUGGCAAGCUUUUUCUACAAAGGGCCAGAGUGUAAAUAUUUUAGUCUUUGUGGGCCGUACAACCUGUGUCGCAGCUAUUCAACCCUGGCACAGGCAAUAUGUAAACAAAAGAGUAUAGCUGUGUUCCAAUCAGACUUUCUUUCUUUCUAAUAGCAGGUGAUGGGCUAGAUUUGGUCUGUGGACCAUCCCUUGCUCCCUAAUGCCUAUUCUGCAGAAUCACUAUGCACCUGCCCAAUUCAGAAAAUUUGUGGUUUAAAAUAAGACAGUUUUGGUGAAUUUUCACUAAGAUGUUAAUAGGUUAUACUGGCUUGAAAUGCAUUUGUUUUUGAACAGGGAACAGUAUUUUGACUCAAAGGGAGACAAUUCCACAGAAGAUGAUUUUCAGGCAGCGGAUCAAGCAGCAGGCAGUAGCAGAUAUUUUUGAUCCCAGGGUCUUCAGAGGGCCCUGAAAUCACACCACAUUAGGAGUUGCUUGCCCUGUCUAUAUGUAAGGUCAAUCUGGUUACUCAGAGAGUCAUUAGCAUUUGGGGGUCCUCGCUGAAGCCUUUCUGGGACUGCUUACUCGCCAGGACAGCUGAGAAUCCACAAUGGGAACAAUGAGCUCUGUUGUUGGAACUGUAAAUAAUGAACUGACUGCAGCAGUUCUGCUCCAUAGGACCCGGUACUGACUGCUAUUCAGUUGUAAAUAUCCCCUUCCUGCUGAUCUACUGGAGGACAGAGAGAGAGCCAUUGAUGUAUAUUAUGCUAAACAUCCCCUGGAAUCCAACUGCAGGAAGAGAGGACAAUGCAGGUGCAAAACCAACCCAUUAACUUGCUGUACAUCUGUUUCAGCCUCCCCUUAACUCAAGGUGCUAGGAGAGCCCACACCUUCCCUUUGAGACAGAGGGAUAUUUUUAUAGGUAUGGAAUGAAUAUAUGAGUAUUUGAAAGUAUUGCUGUUUUAUGCCUUCAGUGGCGCCUACCUGGAGAUGAAAGAGAAUGACUUACGCCAUUUAUUUUCCCUGCAGUGUUUUUCCUCUUUUGCUAGGUGAUUUUCUGCUGUAGCUAAUGGAGAGCCUUUCCCUGGGAAAUGAUUAAAUGGCUGGGGACAUAUUUUAGAGAUGCUUACAUUAAUAUUCAUUUCACCUCUAGUGCCCAUUGCUGUCAUCAAGACCCUGGCUUGGGUUCCUGACCAAUUAUUGCAUUAACUCUUUUCCUCGAGGUGAUCCCUUCAUUUGCUGGUUUCCUAGACUGAUCCCUGCCUCACUCCUGCUUUUUGGAAGUUUGAGAUUCCAAACUCUGUACUAUGGUUUUGCCCUCUGGAUCCUGCCUGUUUCUGCCUGCAUUCUCUGAACUUGAUCUCCAGGCUUUAAUCCCGACUAAGCUUUGGAAACGUCCUUGCUUGCCAUUAGAUAGAGCAGGAGAGUGGCCCAAGAUUCAGGACUCAGCCCACCAGGAUUCCCCAGAAUACAAGUCCUACUUAGGUUUCCAGUGGAUCAAACCAGAAAGAUGAGCCUCUCUUUUAAGUUCAUUCUCAACUUUAAGAGCCCUUUCUCUGGAGAUUUCUGAGACUCUUUGACUUCUAAGUGAAGUGAAGUAACAAAUUCCUACAAAUGGAGUAUGAGUGCAAGGAAUGUGUCAAUUACAGGAUGAGCGGAGAAGAAGCAAGUGUGCUGUUCCUCCGUUCUCUUCCUCUGUCAACUGGAUGCAAAGAACUCAGGCUCAAAGCCUGCUAGUGCUAUGAGAUAGAAGAGGUUGGAUCCUUGAAUCACUGCAUGGAAAGCCAGUUAUCUACUGAUCAGGAAUGCCUGACCUGGUGGGUUGUUAGCAACUAAUAAACUUUUAUUGUGUUGACCCAUGGAGAUUUUGGAAUUUUGUUAAAUCAGUUCAUGCUUCUGUAACUAAUAUAAAAAGUAAUAAAAUUACCUCAGUG